AGGGAACAACCGAGGACCCGGAAGUCAGUGGUUCUUACAGGCUUUGCUUUGCCGCACCUACGUGCUUCCUUAUGGGUAUAAAGGAAGGUGCAGGCUCCUCGAAUGGAAGCAAUCCUGCACAUGCGAGCUCAGAUACAUGCCUACUGUGGGCGCGACAGCGACCUCAACACGAGGACAAGAAGAAAUGCAUGCAGGAAUUUGUCAAGCAAUGCCAUCAAAUACCGGGUAGUGUUUACAGAUACCGGAAGAGUGUGUGCAGUACAAUAAGCAAAAGAAAAUCUCGUUGGAUUUUAAUAUAACUAUC